GAUGAAGAACGCAGCGAAAUGCGAUAAGUAAUGCGAAUUGCAGAAUUCAGCGAGUCAUCGAAUCUUUGAACGCACAUUGCGCCCCUUGGUAUUCCGAGGGGCAUGCCUGUUCGAGCGUCAUUAUAACCCCUCAAGCUCAGCUUGGUGUUGGGGCCUGCUGCACUGGCAGCCCUUAAAAUCAGUGGCGGCGCCAUCUGGCUCUAAGCGUAGUAAUUCUUCUCGCUAUGGAGUCCUGGUGGAUGCUUGCCAUCAACCCCCAAUUUUUCUAUGGUUGACCUCGGAUCAGGUAGGGAUACCCGCUGAACUUAAGCAUAUCAAUAAGCGGAGGA
rnacentral:misc_RNA from 1 species